UAGGUGACUGAUGGUAAAGAGAAGAAGAACCCUUAGGAAGACCUGUUGCAGUGCCUCCUGUGGACCACAAAAUGGCAGGGAAAGAAAGAACUUCAGAUUUGAAAAAAAUUAGUUUUGCCUGUCAUCCAAAUGUUUUCUCAAAGAUGCUGAAAAGUACAAGGCUAGACUUUUUCUCUGAACAUCACCAGUUCAGUGGCGGUGAGGAAGGUUUGAGAAGACCGGGUUGGCUUUCACAGGGUUAUUGUGACCAGCAGCAAUGUGACAAAGAGAGAUUUCAGAAAG
rnacentral:lncRNA from 1 species